CUUUCAACAACGGAUCUCUUGGUUCCAGCAUCGAUGAAGAACGCAGCGAAAUGCGAUAACUAAUGUGAAUGCAGAAUUCAGUGAAUCAUCGAGUCUUUGAACGCACAUU
rnacentral:rRNA from 1 species